rnacentral:rRNA from 1 species
UACGAAGGGGGCUAGCGUUGCUCGGAAUCACUGGGCGUAAAGCGCACGUAGGCGGCUUUCUAAGUCAGGGGUGAAAUCCUGGAGCUCAACUCCAGAACUGCCUUUGAUACUGGAGAGCUCGAGUCCGGAAGAGGUGAGUGGAACUGCGAGUGUAGAGGUGAAAUUCGUAGAUAUUCGCAAGAACACCAGUGGCGAAGGCGGCUCACUGGUCCGGUACUGACGCUGAGGUGCGAAAGCGUGGGGGAGCAAACAG